GCCCGCAAAUCUCGUUGCCCGUAGUGCCGAUCCGGACGUCGCGACGCUCGAUCAUCGGCGACUUCGUCGAUUUUUUUACGGAAAAUUACGGGCAAGGUCGACCGCCACGACUAACAAAUCCAGCAUCUUUGUUCCCUGGCAUUACCUGACUAACUACAAAAGUUACCUACCAUAUCAGCAACCAACGAAAAUAGUAUUUAUCUAUCCCACAAUUGUUCAAAGAGAGCUGGAAAUUACUAAACUCGUGAAAACAUGGAUGGAAAAUCAUGUUUAGGUCAUUUCACUGCCAUCGCUGGCUAAAUGUGAAUAAUUAGAGGCCGGUAUCUGGUAGUGUUAUUAAAAAUUUAGCUGCCCUCCAGUUUUACGAGCUAUGUACCGAGCUGGGAAUGAGUAAAGAAGAGAUUUGGACGCUUUUUCAUUAUGCAUUUGUUAUGAAAGGUGAAGUAAGCGCGUGAUGGCUGGGGAGCCCCAUGGCUCAUCAAAGGGAAAGUAACAUUACUAGUACCACUCCUAUUUCGAUCAUCAACAGUACCACCCACCGACCCGC